AACGAAAUCAUAAUAUUCUGUAUCUCAACUGAGAAACAACGUCUGUGUGAGAGCUAAAAAAAAAGAAAAUAAUUUAGUGAAAAUAAAAAAAAAAACAAAAAUGAAUAAUUUUUUAUCAAUUUUUUCGGACAAACCGGUAGCAGAACUCUCUGAGCCUCUUAAGGAGGAUUCGGCCGUAUGUUCGUUGCCACGUUGUGAACAUGAGCUCAAGUUGCGAGUGAUUAGUAUUGCUGCAGUUGUAUUACUUUUUCUAUAUGUGCUAUAUAAAUUUUUGCGUUCUCCGAUCCCGAAUUGGGAAGAAAGGAUUGUAGACGAUUUGCAAAAUACUACAGAUACAGGACACGCAAACUACAAUAGAACAGGAAAAGUAUCAGUUAAACACUUUAGCAAGUUCGAAGAUAUGAUUUUAAUGUGCAACAAGCGCACUAUCUCAACACAAACCGUGUUAUCCACAAAUGGCCAUGUUAUGACUAUGUGUGUUUAUAACGAGGAGGACAUAAUAAUAACUGAAAGGGCAAUCAUUUAGGAAACAGGAUCACUCAUUAAAGGCAAAUCUAUGUAGGGUUCAAGAAGAUUCCACAAUCCACCACAAUGAAGAAUUUCCAGGCAAAUCUAUGUAGGGUUCAAGAAGAUAACACAAUCCACCACAAUGAAAAACUCCGAGGGCACAUACAACAUCCUGAUGUACAUCUACACCCAGAUACAUAUGUUCCUGUUCAUCGAACUGGGUACACAAAAAAUAAAAACAGUGAGAUGAAAAAUUAA